AUUUUAGUAUAAAUAUGUCCCAUGCAACAUUUGGGAGCAAUUUAUGCUAAAA
rnacentral:miRNA from 1 species